CCCUCGAGCACUGAAACGGCUGCCAUCCGGCGUCAGGCCCCAAGCAAAGUACACCCGUCUAUAUGUUUAAAAGUGGACAGCAGGUGCCCACGGCUGUCACCCCUCCCCCAAAGAGGACGUUUCUCUUGGCGAGCUUUUGAAUGUCUUCUCCCAAACAGUGGUACCUAAACGUGGAAUCCCGCAUUCCAGUGUGACCCCUGUCCUCAUGGCACCUUACUUUAAACUCAGGCAUUGGAGGGCAUGUCUGAAGGCUCCCUUUUCCUGUGUUGAGUUUGGAGUCUUAAAAGGAGAGAAGCCACCUCCUGCCCUGCCCAUCCUAACGACAGCUCACACCGCACACGUCCUGUGCCAGGGGCUGUUCUGAGCCCUUCCCAGGAACUCAUCCACCAAUUCUCCCGGAACAUACCACAAUUGAAGCAGGAAUGUGUCGGCGCUCAGAAUAGGCACUGAGCACCUGCAAAGAGCCAGCCCAGAGACCAGCGGAGACGCACCGAGGCCCCCAGGGAAUGAAGGGUCAGAUCAUCCGGAAUGGAGUAGGGCCUGGUUUUCUCCCCCCACCCCUCUGAGCCGCAUUCUCAUCUCCUGGGACUCUGUCAUUCUUCAGGGUAUCUGUUCCUGAAGCCAAGAAACAGGAAGGAAACGUGUUUCCUUUAAUAAAUAAAAUAAAAUCUCCUUCGCCUCA